GUUGUAUUAAAAUUCAAAACCACAGGUCAAUAAUAAUAAGAUUACUGAUUAUAUUAUUAAAUAUAACAGUAUGUUAUAUUCAGAAUAAUUUGAUGACUAUCAAUUUUCACUUUAAACAAAAAUUUAAAAGUCAUCAUACGGUGAUGAAACUUACCUAAUUACCUUUGUUGAUACAAACAUUGAAUCAAUAAAAACAACUUGUCUUUAGCAGCGGAAUUUUAUAUACAUCAUAUUUAGUCAUCAUUACUUUUAUUGUCUAACAUCUAUAUGAUUAUUAUACUAAUAGUAUUCAUAAUUUUUGUUGAUGGAAGUAUGUGAGUUGGUAGAGGAAGGAAUAAUUUACAAUGGCAGCGGCUAGCAGUAUAAACUAGUAUUGUUUGACAAAAGUGCUGGCUGUACGGGAGUCACAUACGACAAGCAUAUACUCGCUGUUGAGGCUAGCCGUACAGCAUUUUAAAAAUGAGUUGCCUAAAACAAUAAUACGCAAGCUUGUUUUUCUAAAAGAAGAUUUUAUUGAAUAUCAUAUACAAUUUACAGUUGGUAUAUUAAUUUUUAGUGUUUGAUGAUCAGAAGAUUUUUUUCCUUCUGAAAAUCAUGGCGUGAAUGAAUAGUUUAAGUCUGUGUGAAAACGCAAAGAGAAAUAGACUGAAAAUUAUUAAAUCAUUUCUAUGGACAAUAUUGAUGUAAAACAUUUGUAAUCAAACAUGUGGGUCAAUUUCCAGCUGUAGUUGGAUUAUGACAAAGUAUUUUUAAUAAUUUAACUUUUAGCUACUUGAAAAUUUCAUGCCGGAUGUUUGCUUACCAUUACAUUUUGCAUAAGAGCUCUAUAAUUGACAUUAAAGUCCACGGGCCAAUUUAUUUCUGAUAGAUCUUUCGGAUAUCUUGUUAUAAUAUAAAUUAUGGCUGAACAUCAUCAUAGAAUUAUUAAGAAACAAUAUAAAUUUUAUAUAUGUUAAUUCUUUGUAAAAAUGUAAGAAGACUUGCAAGUUACUGACUUCAUCAUUACAUUUAUUUAUUAUUGAAAAAAUACAGAACGGCUAGGCUCAACAGUGCGUAUAGGGUAGACGUACCAAAAUAUAUUGUUACAGUCAUGACGGCUUUCCCAUUGCUGUCAACAAACUUUAACCUUGUUCAUAACUUUUUCAGAUCUUGGUGUAUUGUCCUCAUACUUGGUCACAACAACCCUUCAAGUAGACCAGACUAAACUUGACCUUCAUGUUAACAUUCAAGAAGGUAGGCCUACAUGUCAGAUUUGUGAAUGUGAAGGGCAGGAUAUAGAUUUUAAGGAUGCUUUAGGGUCAAUGAGGAUGGAAUCAAGAGAGAUAAAGGCUAAAAUGUGAGACUGUCAAUCUGACUAACCUUGAAGUGAAUAAAUGGAAAAAUGUUUCUUUCAACAGCAUGGGCAUUUAAGGAAGAGGAAACAGGGGCGCUUGUAUGAAAGGACAGUAAUAGCAGGAGUGAUGAGGGAAGAUAGAUGUGGCUUAAUGUCGGAAACACUAGAGAAAUCGAUACCGGUUUUUGAGUUUUUCAAAACUGAAAAGAAAUUGGAAUACCAGUGGACUGCCUGCCCUUUGCAAUGGUGGAUAAUAGGAUAAUGAGUUCUUAGAUGUGAUGUCGAAAGCCUCAUGAAUAUAGUACAUUGACUUAAUCUAAUUAGAAAAAGAAAUGACAUUCAGGAGAAAACUAGUCACCAGUCUUUCACUAAAAAUGUGAGAUAACUUUCCAAUAUUUGAAAUAUCACAAUAUGUAUAGAACUAUAAUGAGCCACUUGAAAUAUGUAUGAACAGAACUUUAUAAACUUCAAGGUGAGAGUUUAUCACAAAGAACAUGAGAUAACCUAUGAUUGAACAGAACCACAUUUGUAUAUAGAGAUGCCAGUUCAUCACCAAGAAGAUGAGCUAACUUAUCAAUGUUUGAAAUUUGUUUGUACAGAAAAAUAUCAAGUGCAAGUUUCUUUUAUUAAGAACAGACAUAUUGAUUACUAAUAGAUAACUUACAAUAUUUACAAACAUUUAUACUACCACACCCAUUUAAAAUAUUUCAGCUUAGAGUGUAUUAUCCAAAAUACAUGUAUUGUUAUAAUGUACUUAUAGUAUGUUUAUUAAUAUAUUUAUUGUAUAGUUUUGAUUUUACUAGAUUUUAAAAACAUUUAGAUUUUUACUAGAUCUUGAAAAUAUUUUUUCCAUGCUCUUUCAUUUAAUUUUGAAUAAUGAAUGAUUUAUUACCA